GACGAACGCUGGCGGCGCGCUUAACACAUGCAAGUCGAACGGAAAGGCCUGCUUUCCCUUGUGGAUUGCGGGUACUCGAGUGGCGAACGGGUGAGCAACACGUGAGUGAUCUGCCCCCAACUUGGGUAUAAGCCUGGGAAACUGGGUCUAAUUCCCGAUAGGACUGCAGGGUGGUGCCUGUGGUGGAAAACGAUUUUCUAGUGGUUGGGGAUGAGCUCGCGGCCUAUCAGCUUGUUGGUGGGGUAACGGCCUACCAAGGCGGCGACGGGUAGCCGGCCUGAGAGGGUGGACGGCCACAUUGGGACUGGGACACGGCCCAGACGCCUACGAGAGGCAGCAGUGGGGAAUAUUGCGCAAUGGGCGGAAGCCUGAUGCAGCGAGUCUGCGUGGGGGAUGACGGCCUUCGGGUGGUAAACUCCUUGCGACCGCGAGGAAGCCACCUGGUUGGAAGGGUGGUGACGGUAGUGGUAGAAGAAGCACCGGCUAACUACGUG
rnacentral:rRNA from 1 species